AAUCUCGUAAUUAAAAUUUAAUUUAAUUAUAUAAAAUCACUUGGAUGUAUAGGUUCUUGAUCAACUUCUUAUAAGGGUGAUUCUUACAUUACAUGAAUCCAUUCUAAGUUAGCUUAGAGUUAAAUUUAGUUGUUUUUGAUUUCGGUUGAUUUUCAGUCUCGUGGCUUACUCUUGGGCCUUCUUACAAUGAGCUCUUAAUCAACAUCAACUUAACUUUUAAUAAUUUCAAACCUUUGUAUUUUAAUUAUUUUAAUUCGGACAUAGAUCC
rnacentral:lncRNA from 1 species